CCUGGCUCAGAUUGAACGCCGGCGGCAUGCCUUACACAUGCAAGUCGAACGGUAACGCGGGGCAACCUGGCGACGAGUGGCGAACGGGUGAGUAAUACAUCGGAACGUGCCCAGUAGUGGGGGAUAGCCCGGCGAAAGCCGGAUUAAUACCGCAUACGACCUAUGGGUGAAAGCGGGGGACCGUAAGGCCUCGCGCUAUUGGUGCGGCCGAUGUCAGAUUAGGUUGUUGGUGGGGUAAAAGCCUACCAAGCCGACGAUCUGUAGCUGGUCUGAGAGGACGACCAGCCACACUGGGACUGAGACACGGCCCAGACUCCUACGGGAGGCAGCAGUGGGGAAUUUUGGACAAUGGGCGAAAGCCUGAUCCAGCAAUGCCGCGUGCGGGAAGAAGGCCUUCGGGUUGUAAACCGCUUUUGUCAGGGAAGAAACGCUCUGAGCUAAUACCUCGGGGUAAUGACGGUACCUGAAGAAUAAGCACCGGCUAACUACGUGCCAGCAGCCGCGGUAAUACGUAGGGUGCGAGCGUUAAUCGGAAUUACUGGGCGUAAAGCGUGCGCAGGCGGUUAUGCAAGACAGAUGUGAAAUCCCCGGGCUCAACCUGGGAACUGCAUUUGUGACUGCAUGGCUAGAGUGCGGUAGAGGGGGAUGGAAUUCCGCGUGUA
rnacentral:rRNA from 1 species